rnacentral:rRNA from 1 species
GACGAACGCUGGCGGCGUGCUUAACACAUGCAAGUCGAACGGAAAGGCCCUGCUUUUGUGGGGUGCUCGAGUGGCGAACGGGUGAGUAACACGUGAGUAACCUGCCCUUGACUUUGGGAUAACUUCAGGAAACUGGGGCUAAUACCGGAUAGGAGCUCCUGCUGCAUGGUGGGGGUUGGAAAGUUUCGGCGGUUGGGGAUGGACUCGCGGCUUAUCAGCUUGUUGGUGGGGUAGUGGCUUACCAAGGCUUUGACGGGUAGCCGGCCUGAGAGGGUGACCGGCCACAUUGGGACUGAGAUACGGCCCAGACUCCUACGGGAGGCAGCAGUGGGGAAUAUUGCACAAUGGGCGGAAGCCUGAUGCAGCAACGCCGCGUGCGGGAUGACGGCCUUCGGGUUGUAAACCGCUUUCGCCUGUGACGAAGCGUGAGUGACGGUAAUGGGUAAAGAAGCACCGGCUAACUACGUGCCAGCAGCCGCGGUGAUACGUAGGGUGCGAGCGUUGUCCGGAUUUAUUGGGCGUAAAGGGCUCGUAGGUGGUUGAUCGCGUCGGAAGUGUAAUCUUGGGGCUUAACCCUGAGCGUGCUUUCGAUACGGGUUGACUUGAGGAAGGUAGGGGAGAAUGGAAUUCCUGGUGGAGCGGUGGAAUGCGCAGAUAUCAGGAGGAACACCAGUGGCGAAGGCGGUUCUCUGGGCCUUUCCUGACGCUGAGGAGCGAAAGCGUGGGGAGCGAACAGGCUUAGAUACCCUGGUAGUCCACGCUGUAAACGGUGGGUACUAGGUGUGGGGUCCAUUCCACGGGUUCCGUGCCGUAGCUAACGCUUUAAGUACCCCGCCUGGGGAGUACGGCCGCAAGGCUAAAACUCAAAGGAAUUGACGGGGCCCCGCACAAGCGGCGGAGCAUGCGGAUUAAUUCGAUGCAACGCGUAGAACCUUACCUGGGUUUGACAUGGAUCGGGAGUGCUCAGAGAUGGGUGUGCCUCUUUUGGGGUCGGUUCACAGGUGGUGCAUGGCUGUCGUCAGCUCGUGUCGUGAGAUGUUGGGUUAAGUCCCGCAACGAGCGCAACCCUUGUUCACUGUUGCCAGCACGUUAUGGUGGGGACUCAGUGGAGACCGCCGGGGUCAACUCGGAGGCAGGUGGGGAUGACGUCAAGUCAUCAUGCCCCUUAUGUCCAGGGCUUCACGCAUGCUACAAUGGCUGGUACAGAGAGUGGCGAGCCUGUGAGGGUGAGCGAAUCUCGGAAAGCCGGUCUCAGUUCGGAUUGGGGUCUGCAACUCGACCUCAUGAAGUCGGAGUCGCUAGUAAUCGCAGAUCAGCAACGCUGCGGUGAAUACGUUCCCGGG